AGCUACGACCGUGGUGCGUUGAUACAACUAAUUCCUUGAUCUCGGAAGUUAAGCAUCGUGCUGUCGGGUCAGUACUUGGGUAGGAGAUUACCAAGGAAGACUAGAUGCUCUAGCCG
rnacentral:rRNA from 1 species